CUAGCUGUAAACGAUGUUGACUGGGUGUUGGUGGGGUAAAAGCCAUCAGUGCCGAAGCAAACGCGAUAAGUCAACCGCCUGGGGANUACGCGAAAAACCUUACCCGGGUUUGACAUACAGUUGGUAGAGAAGCGAAAGCGGAUCGACCCUUCGGGGAGGCUGAACAGGUGC
rnacentral:rRNA from 1 species